GCCGCUGUGGCGGAAUUGGUAGACGCGUCGGAUUCAAAAUCCGAUGUCUUCGGACGUGCCGGUUCGAUUCCGGCCAGCGGUACCA
rnacentral:tRNA from 1 species